UUCCGGUUAGCUCAGUUGGUAGAACGCUCCAUUGGGAAUGGGGAGGUUCCUGGUUCGAUACCAGGACCAGGUG
rfam:Ixodes scapularis strain Wikel colony gcontig_1107728698008, whole genome shotgun sequence.